rnacentral:rRNA from 1 species
CGAAGCGUGCUGUUGGAGUGCACGUCCAAGCAGUGAGAUUGAGUGUUAGGCAAAUCCGGCACUCUUAAGAUUGAGCUGUGAUGGGGAGAGGAACUUGUUCCUCGAGUCGUUGAUUUCACACUGCCGAGAAAAGCCUCUAGCUAGAAUAACGGUGCCCGUACCGCAAACCGACACAGGUAGUCAAGAUGAGAAUUCUAAGGUGAGCGAGCGAACUCUCGUUAAGGAACUCGGCAAAAUGACCCCGUAACUUCGGGAGAAGGGGUGCUCUUUGAGGUUCACGCUUCGAAGAGCCGCAGUGAAUAGGCCCAAGCGACUGUUUAUCAAAAACACAGGUCUCUGCUAAACCGUAAGGUGACGUAUAGGGGCUGACGCCUGCCCGGUGCUGGAAGGUUAAGAGGAGUGGUUAGCGCAAGCGAAGCUACGAAUCGAAGCCCCAGUAAACGGCGGCCGUAACUAUAACGGUCCUAAGGUAGCGAAAUUCCUUGUCGGGUAAGUUCCGACCCGCACGAAAGGCGUAACGAUUUGGGCACUGUCUCAACGAGAGACUCGGUGAAAUCAUAGUACCGGUGAAGAUGCCGGUUACCCGCGACAGGACGGAAAGACCCCGUGGAGCUUUACUGUAGCCUGAUAUUGAAAUUCGGUACAGUUUGUACAGGAUAGGUAGGAGCCUUAGAAGCGUGAGCGCUAGCUUACGUGGAGGCAUUGGUGGGAUACUACCCUAAUUGUAUUGGAUUUCUAACCCGCAGCACUUAUCGUGCUGGGAGACAGUGUCAGGCGGGCAGUUUGACUGGGGCGGUCGCCUCCUAAAGAGUAACGGAGGCGCUCAAAGGUUCCCUCAGAAUGGUUGGAAAUCAUUCAUAGAGUGUAAAGGCAUAAGGGAGCUUGACUGCGAGACCUACAAGUCGAGCAGGGUCGAAAGACGGACUUAGUGAUCCGGUGGUUCCGCAUGGAAGGGCCAUCGCUCAACGGAUAAAAGCUACCCCGGGGAUAACAGGCUUAUCUCCCCCAAGAGUUCACAUCGACGGGGAGGUUUGGCACCUCGAUGUCGGCUCAUCGCAUCCUGGGGCUGUAGUCGGUCCCAAGGGUUGGGCUGUUCGCCCAUUAAAGCGGUACGCGAGCUGGGUUCAGAACGUCGUGAGACAGUUCGGUCCCUAUCCGUCGUGGGCGUAGGAAAUUUGAGAGGAGCUGUCCUUAGUACGAGAGGACCGGGAUGGACAUACCUCUGGUGUACCAGUUGUCGUGCCAACGGCAUAGCUGGGUAGCUAUGUAUGGACGGGAUAAGUGCUGAAAGCAUCUAAGCAUGAAGCCCCCCUCGAGAUGAGAUUUCCCAACUUC